rnacentral:rRNA from 1 species
UUAAGCGACUAAGCGUACACGGUGGAUGCCCUGGCAGUCAGAGGCGAUGAAGGACGUGCUAAUCUGCGAUAAGCGUCGGUAAGGUGAUAUGAACCGUUAUAACCGGCGAUUUCCGAAUGGGGAAACCCAGUGUGAUUCGUCACACUAUCAUUAACUGAAUCCAUAGGUUAAUGAGGCGAACCGGGGGAACUGAAACAUCUAAGUACCCCGAGGAAAAGAAAUCAACCGAGAUUCCCCCAGUAGCGGCGAGCGAACGGGGAGCAGCCCAGAGCCUGAAUCAGUGUGUGUGUUAGUGGAAGCGUCUGGAAAGGCGUGCGAUACAGGGUGACAGCCCCGUACACAAAAAUGCACAUACUGUGAGCUCGAUGAGUAGGGCGGGACACGUGGUAUCCUGUCUGAAUAUGGGGGGACCAUCCUCCAAGGCUAAAUACUCCUGACUGACCGAUAGUGAACCAGUACCGUGAGGGAAAGGCGAAAAGAACCCCGGCGAGGGGAGUGAAAAAGAACCUGAAACCGUGUACGUACAAGCAGUGGGAGCACAGAGCAAUCUGUGUGACUGCGUACCUUUUGUAUAAUGGGUCAGCGACUUAUAUUCUGUAGCAAGGUUAACCGAAUAGGGGAGCCGAAGGGAAACCGAGUCUUAACUGGGCGUUAAGUUGCAGGGUAUAGACCCGAAACCCGGUGAUCUAGCCAUGGGCAGGUUGAAGGUUGGGUAACACUAACUGGAGGACCGAACCGACUAAUGUUGAAAAAUUAGCGGAUGACUUGUGGCUGGGGGUGAAAGGCCAAUCAAACCGGGAGAUAGCUGGUUCUCCCCGAAAGCUAUUUAGGUAGCGCCUCGUGAAUUCAUCUCCGGGGGUAGAGCACUGUUUCGGCAAGGGGGUCAUCCCGACUUACCAACCCGAUGCAAACUGCGAAUACCGGAGAAUGUUAUCACGGGAGACACACGGCGGGUGCUAACGUCCGUCGUGAAGAGGGAAACAACCCAGACCGCCAGCUAAGGUCCCAAAGUCAUGGUUAAGUGGGAAACGAUGUGGGAAGGCCCAGACAGCCAGGAUGUUGGCUUAGAAGCAGCCAUCAUUUAAAGAAAGCGUAAUAGCUCACUGGUCGAGUCGGCCUGCGCGGAAGAUGUAACGGGGCUAAACCAUGCACCGAAGCUGCGGCAGCGACGCUGAUGCGUUGUUGGGUAGGGGAGCGUUCUGUAAGCCUGUGAAGGUGUACUGUGAGGCAUGCUGGAGGUAUCAGAAGUGCGAAUGCUGACAUAAGUAACGAUAAAGCGGGUGAAAAGCCCGCUCGCCGGAAGACCAAGGGUUCCUGUCCAACGUUAAUCGGGGCAGGGUGAGUCGACCCCUAAGGCGAGGCCGAAAGGCGUAGUCGAUGGGAAACAGGUUAAUAUUCCUGUACUUGGUGUUACUGCGAAGGGGGGACGGAGAAGGCUAUGUUGGCCGGGCGACGGUUGUCCCGGUUUAAGCGUGUAGGCUGGUUUUCCAGGCAAAUCCGGAAAAUCAAGGCUGAGGCGUGAUGACGAGGCACUACGGUGCUGAAGCAACAAAUGCCCUGCUUCCAGGAAAAGCCUCUAAGCAUCAGGUAACAUCAAAUCGUACCCCAAACCGACACAGGUGGUCAGGUAGAGAAUACCAAGGCGCUUGAGAGAACUCGGGUGAAGGAACUAGGCAAAAUAGUGCCGUAACUUCGGGAGAAGGCACGCUGAUAUGUAGGUGAAGUCCCUCGCGGAUGGAGCUGAAAUCAGUCGAAGAUACCAGCUGGCUGCAACUGUUUAUUAAAAACACAGCACUGUGCAAACACGAAAGUGGACGUAUACGGUGUGACGCCUGCCCGGUGCCGGAAGGUUAAUUGAUGGGGUUAGCGCAAGCGAAGCUCUUGAUCGAAGCCCCGGUAAACGGCGGCCGUAACUAUAACGGUCCUAAGGUAGCGAAAUUCCUUGUCGGGUAAGUUCCGACCUGCACGAAUGGCGUAAUGAUGGCCAGGCUGUCUCCACCCGAGACUCAGUGAAAUUGAACUCGCUGUGAAGAUGCAGUGUACCCGCGGCAAGACGGAAAGACCCCGUGAACCUUUACUAUAGCUUGACACUGAACAUUGAGCCUUGAUGUGUAGGAUAGGUGGGAGGCUUUGAAGUGUGGACGCCAGUCUGCAUGGAGCCGACCUUGAAAUACCACCCUUUAAUGUUUGAUGUUCUAACGUGGACCCGUAAUCCGGGUUGCGGACAGUGUCUGGUGGGUAGUUUGACUGGGGCGGUCUCCUCCUAAAGAGUAACGGAGGAGCACGAAGGUUGGCUAAUCCUGGUCGGACAUCAGGAGGUUAGUGCAAUGGCAUAAGCCAGCUUGACUGCGAGCGUGACGGCGCGAGCAGGUGCGAAAGCAGGUCAUAGUGAUCCGGUGGUUCUGAAUGGAAGGGCCAUCGCUCAACGGAUAAAAGGUACUCCGGGGAUAACAGGCUGAUACCGCCCAAGAGUUCAUAUCGACGGCGGUGUUUGGCACCUCGAUGUCGGCUCAUCACAUCCUGGGGCUGAAGUAGGUCCCAAGGGUAUGGCUGUUCGCCAUUUAAAGUGGUACGCGAGCUGGGUUUAGAACGUCGUGAGACAGUUCGGUCCCUAUCUGCCGUGGGCGCUGGAGAACUGAGGGGGGCUGCUCCUAGUACGAGAGGACCGGAGUGGACGCAUCACUGGUGUUCGGGUUGUCAUGCCAAUGGCACUGCCCGGUAGCUAAAUGCGGAAGAGAUAAGUGCUGAAAGCAUCUAAGCACGAAACUUGCCCCGAGAUGAGUUCUCCCUGACUCCUUGAGAGUCCUGAAGGAACGUUGAAGACGACGACGUUGAUAGGCCGGGUGUGUAAGCGCAGCGAUGCGUUGAGCUAACCGGUACUAAUGAACCGUGAGGCUUAACCUU